GAAUCCUAAUCUACAGAGUCUAAGGGUCACACUUGGGAGACAGAAACAAUGAAGAAACUCAAGGAGCGUAAGGAGUAUAAUAAUCAGGACAGUGAGUCCUUUCGGAAGUAGAGAGGCGGGGUUUUCUACCUCAUUUGUGUAUCCAUGAAUCUGUGAAUUAAGAAGCACAGAGUGAACAAUUAAAAUCAGUAUUUUCCAGUCUGAUAGUAAGAAGCCCUGGCGUGCUAUGGAAAGUGUAUCCUCCUGGUCUCGCUGCUGAGUCCUCCAUGAAGCACUAGGACCUCAUGCCCAUCUACGUCCAUCAGCAGAAGGGGCAAGAAUGUGAAGAAAUGCUUGUGGGAGGUGAUAACAGGCCCAGUCUAGAAGAACACACAUCAGCUCCUCUCCUGCUCCAUUGGCAGCGACAUGGCCCUACCGCCACAAAAGAGGCUGGGAAGUCUUUCAGCUAUGCUCCAAGAAGGGGAACAGAUUUUCAUGGACAAUUAACAUUAUCAGUGCUAAAGUAUCAUCUCCUAGGAAAAAUAAAAAUGAAAGAAAUCCCCUAGGGAAAGUACAUAAAAAAUGGACCUGGUGUGACUAACAGAGACCAAAAACAAAGUGGAACCAAGCAGUGAUGACAGACCUGGGGCUAAGUGAUGUGCUCUGAGUUUUUAGAAAACCACAAAAGCUCUGACUCUUGAUUCUUCUAAGGGUCCCACCUGGAAAAGCCCCAGAGGUGAAGUUCCAAUGACAGCCAAACAUCACAAACUGCGGUCCAGCUGCGAGGACUUAUGGUCAGGCUGCAGGGGCCAUACAGCCCUCUUACAAGUCUCCCAACUGUGUAUUCUGUGGAUUUUGCUUUUUAAAAUGUCUCACUCCCAUCACCUUCUGGGAAACUACUUUCAGUUACAGGCAAAAGAUGUGUACCCCAAGAUUGCAAACCUGCCAACAAUAAACCAGUCUUUGGC